AGCGGGGCUCACCCCUCUCCAUCUCUGCGCCUGGAAGGGGAACCCGAACCUGAUUUCCUUUUUACUUUCACAUGGAGCCGAUCCUUGCGUUCGGAACCGCCAAGGAGCAACACCCGCAAGCUUGGCACGCUUACAAGGCAACAAGCAAGCGGAAGAACUCUUACAGAGGACGG